AGAGUUUGAUCAUGGCUCAGAUUGAACGCUGGCGGCAGGCUUAACACAUGCAAGUCGAGCGGAGAUGAGGUGCUUGCACCUUAUCUUAGCGGCGGACGGGUGAGUAAUGCUUAGGAAUCUGCCUAUUAGUGGGGGACAACAUUCCGAAAGGAAUGCUAAUACCGCAUACGUCCUACGGGAGAAAGUAGGGGAUCUUCGGACCUUGCGCUAAUAGAUGAGCCUAAGUCGGAUUAGCUAGUUGGUGGGGUAAAGGCCUACCAAGGCGACGAUCUGUAGCGGGUCUGAGAGGAUGAUCCGCCACACUGGGACUGAGACACGGCCCAGACUCCUACGGGAGGCAGCAGUGGGGAAUAUUGGACAAUGGGGGGAACCCUGAUCCAGCCAUGGCCGCGUGUGUGAAGAAGGCCUUAUGGUUGUAAAGCACUUUAAGCGAGGAGGAGGCUACUGAGACUAAUACUCUUGGAUAGUGGACGUUACUCGCAGAAUAAGCACCGGCUAACUCUGUGCCAGCAGCCGCGGUAAUACAAAGGGUGCGAGCGUUAAUCGGAUUUACUGGGCGUAAAGCGUGCGUAGGCGGCUUUUUAAGUCGGAUGUGAAAUCCCCGAGCUUAACUUGGGAAUUGCAUUCGAUACUGGGAAGCUAGAGUAUGGGAGAGGAUGGUAGAAUUCCAGGUGUAGCGGUGAAAUGCGUAGAGAUCUGGAGGAAUACCGAUGGCGAAGGCAGCCAUCUGGCCUAAUACUGACGCUGAGGUACGAAAGCAUGGGGAGCAAACAGGAUUAGAUACCCUGGUAGUCCAUGC
rnacentral:rRNA from 1 species